UACGUAGGGGGCAAGCGUUGUCCGGAAUCAUUGGGCGUAAAGAGCGUGUAGGCGGCCCGAUAAGUCCGCUGUGAAAGUCCAGGGCUCAACCCUGGGAUGCCGGUGGAUACUGUCGGGCUCGAGUCCGGAAGAGGAGUGUGGAAUUCCUGGUGUAGCGGUGAAAUGCGCAGAUAUCAGGAAGAACACCCGUGGCGAAGGCGGCUCUCUGGGACGGUACUGACGCUGAGACGCGAAAGCGUGGGGAGCAAACAGG
rnacentral:rRNA from 1 species